UCUUCCCUCUGGCGGCGUGCCUAAUACAUGCAAGUCGAGCGAACAGACGAGGAGCUUGCUCCUCUGACGUUAGCGGCGGACGGGUGAGUAACACGUGGAUAACCUACCUAUAAGACUGGGAUAACUUCGGGAAACCGGAGCUAAUACCGGAUAAUAUAUUGAACAGCAUGGUUCAAUAGUGAAAGACGGUUUUGCUGUCACUUAUAGAUGGAUCCGCGCCGCAUUAGCUAGUUGGUAAGGUAACGGCUUACCAAGGCGACGAUGCGUAGCCGACCUGAGAGGGUGAUCGGCCACACUGGAACUGAGACACGGUCCAGACUCCUACGGGAGGCAGCAGUAGGGAAUCUUCCGCAAUGGGCGAAAGCCUGACGGAGCAACGCCGCGUGAGUGAUGAAGGUCUUCGGAUCGUAAAACUCUGUUAUUAGGGAAGAACAAAUGUGUAAGUAACUAUGCACGUCUUGACGGUACCUAAUCAGAAAGCCACGGCUAACUACGUG
rnacentral:rRNA from 1 species